rnacentral:rRNA from 1 species
CACGUAGGCGGAUCAAUAAGUUGGUUGUGAAAUCCCAUGGCUUACCCAUGGAACUGCAGCCGAAACUGUUGGUCUUGAGAGCGGUAGGGGAGAGUGGAAUUCCUGGUGGAGCGGUGAAAUGUGUUGAUAUCGGGAAGAACGCCGGAGGCGAAAGCGACUCUCUGGGCCGCUACUGACGCUGAUGUGCGAAAGCUAGGGGAGCGAACAGGAUUAGAUACCCUGGUAGUCC